AGCAAAGGAGAUGUGCCAAGACACAUCCUUGCUCGCAGGUGUGUAGGCUGAGAUGCUGCUCAUGGCCAUGGCAACAUUCGAACGCCAUGCACUCAUACUCUACGAGAGGCAUGCGGGCAAGCUGUGGUGUUGCGAUGUUGUGGCGCAUGCAUGAUAGCGACAUAUACACGAGGGACAAUGACAUGGUACGUGGGAAGCUAGAACAAAAUGCAAAAAAGAGUACACAGACACUGCAACUUUAGCCGAAGCACGAAUUACACGAAAUUUGACAUGGUCCUAUCUUUGCCACAGAUCUUCUAGCCACGAACCCGAGCAGGGUGGAAGAGGGGUGUACCUAGAUCACCUAGGACAAGAAUUUACGGCUAGAGGGGCCAUGGAGAUGACGCGACGGUCGACAGAAGCCCGGAGGGCCUCAGAUUCGAACGCAGUGAAGAAGACGACGACGGUGAGGGAGUUCCGAGGGUUUCAGGCGUCAUGUGCAUAAAUGUAGGAGACUAUAGGGACUCCAGGAAUUUGAUCCACGUGCCCAGAGAGUAAGAA
rnacentral:lncRNA from 1 species